UAAGCGGAGGAAAAGAAACUAACAAGGAUUCCCUUAGUAACGGCGAGUGAAGUGGGAAAAGCUCAAAUUUUAAAUCACCCGGGUUUCCUUGGUGAAUUGUAAUUUGAAGAAAGUGUUUUGACGUUCGGGUUCGAUUUAAAUCCUUUGGGAUAAGGUAUCAUGGAGGGUUAGAAUCCCGUUAAUGAUUGAUCCUUUGAAUGUCUAUAAUUCACUUUCCAAGAGUCGAGUUGUUUGGGAUUGCAGCUCAAAAAGGGUGGUAAAUUUCACCUAAGGCUAAAUAUGUGCAAGAGACCGAUAGCGAACAAGUACCGUGAGGGAAAGAUGAAAAGAACUUUGAAAAGAGAGUCAAAUAGUACGUGAAAUUGUUGAUAGGGAAACGAUUGAAGUCAGUCAUGCCGGUGGAAAAUCAACUUAUGGACUACUAUGAGUGCACUUUUCGCAUGGCAGGUCAAUAUUAGUUUUGUUGGGUCAUAAUUAUUGUAGAAAGGUGACUCCUUCGGGAGUGUUAUAGACUACUUUAGAUGGCCUGACAUAGACUAAGGAUUGCAGCGAAUGCCUUUAGGCUACAGUUCUUUCUCUGUAAGUCGUUGAUUGGUUGUCAGCUUGCUGACUUCUAGUUAAUUGGCUGACAGUAAGGGAGAAAUCUGUUAAAUUCGCUAAGGGAUGUUGACGUAAUGGCUUUAAACGACCCGUCUUGAAACACGGACCAAAGGAGUCUAGCAUAUAUGCGAGUGUU
rnacentral:rRNA from 1 species